GCUGCCCCCAGCAUGGUGACACAUUACAGGAGGCCAGGGGAAAGCUGGGUGAAUAAAGGUGGGAGAUUUGGGAGAGAUAAGAGGGACUUGGCUAACAGAAAGGAAAGAUUUUGAAGAGUUAGGAGGGAUUCAGGUAAGGCUGCUGUUGCUGCAACAUUUAGUGGCAAUAAAUUCAUGUUGGAUACUGGCAAUAUUUCUAACAAGUAACCAUAAAUCCUAGGCCUACCCUUAAGUGCUACCUCUCAUCCUGAAAUGAAUCCUCUGUAGUAAUCACCAACCUCAAACCUUACCCUGAAGACAAAGCUCAUAACCACUUAGACAUAACCACUUAGUGUUUUUUACCCCAUUGCUCACUGUAAUCCACAGCCCUUAAUUCCUAGCAUUAAAUUGCCUUAACCCUAGCCCUCACCCAGGCAGAAAUUAAACCAUAACCAAAAAUCCAGCCCAUACCCUAAACACUGAAUGGGUUCCCAAAGCAGAAAACCAAAGCCUCUCCCUGAAUCUCUGCCCAAUCCCCAACCUGGGAAGGUACUAUCUAUUCCCUAAAUCCAAAUCUAACAACAACUAAGCCCUGAAUCCCUCAUUCCUGGACUUUAAUAACCAAACUGAAGUGUCUUGCAGUGGUGGUGACUAUGAGGUCACUUCUGCCUCUGGAGCUGCUAGGCCAUCAGUAGGAGCAUGGCUGGGCAAGGGACUGGGAGCAGGCACGUGGCUUGGUUGUCUAUCUGAGGAGCUGAAAGGUCAGCAGGAAGGCCACAUAGCUUGGAAGACCCUGGGCACAGCUGGAGAGGAUACAGACAUCAAUGAAGGCACAGAAAUGCUAAGCUGAGAGCAAGGACUCGCAUCACUUCUCCUGACAUCAGACUUCUCCACUGAAGUCUGCAGUUGCACCUUGUAGAUCCCUUGCAGCAACUCCCUCCUUAGAGAAACGGCUGCACACAGAUACAGAAUAAUGACUCUUAAGCGCAAGUAAACAAAAAUAAGGUAUAAUAAAGGUUAAUAAGCA